UCCAGCUCCAAWAAGCGUAWAUUAAAGUAGUUGCAGUUAAAAAGCUCGUAGUUGAACCUCGGGUUCAACUGGCUGGUCCGCCGAAAGGUGNUACUGGUUCAGUUGGACCUUUCCUCCUGGCUAACCUUAAUGUCCUUCACCGGAUGUUUUGGCGAACCAGGACUUUUACUUUGAAAAAAUUAGAGUGUUCAAAGCAGGCCUUCGCUCGAAUAUAUUAGCAUGGAAUAAUAAAAUAGGACGUAUGGUUCUAUUUUGUUGGUUUCUAGGACCAUCGUAAUGAUUAAUAGGGACAGUCGGGGGCAUCAGUAUUCAGUUGUCAGAGGUGAAAUUCUUGGAUUUACUGAAGACUAACUACUGCGAAAGCAUUUUGCCAAGGAUGUUUUCAUUAAUCAAGAACGAAAGUUAGGGGAUCGAAGACGAUCAGAUACCGUCGUAGUCUUAACCAUAAACUAUGCCGACUAGGGAUUGGGCGACGUUCUAUUAUGACUCGCUCAGCACCUUACGAGAAAUCAAAGUUUUUGGGUUCUGGGGGGAUGUCGCAAGCUGAACUUAAAGAAUGACGAAGGCACCACCAGGAGUGGACUGCGCUUAAUUGACUCAACACGGGAAACUCACCAGGUCCAGACACAAUAAGGAUUGACAGAUUGAGAGCUCUUUCUUGAUUUUGUGGGUGGUGGUGCAUGGCCGUUCUUAGUUGGUGGAGUGAUUUGUCUGCUUAAUUGCGAUAACGAACGAGACCUUAACCUACUAAAUAGCUCGAUCAGCUUUGGCUGAUUAUUAGCUUCUUAGAGGGACUAUCGUUUUCAAGACGAUGGAAGUUUGAGGCAAUAACAGGUCUGUGAUGCCCUUAGACGUUCUGGGCCGCACGCGCGCUACACUGACGGAGCCAACGAGUACAUAACCUUGGCCGAGAGGCUUGGGUAAUCUUGUUAAACUCCGUCGUGCUGGGGAUAGAGCAUUGCAAUUAUUGCUCUUCAACGAGGAAUUCCUAGUAAGCGCAAGUCUUCAGCUUGCKUUGUAUUACGUCCCUG
rnacentral:rRNA from 1 species